ACUUGGUUCAGUGUAAUGUAAGGACUGAUGAAACAGGGCUCGUGGCCACAAAACCUUUGAGAACCUCUUUUCUGGACCGAGGAGACUGAAGGUUUCCACUGCAGGCAGAACAGACUCUGGAGUAAAGGGAGAAGAUGAUCUGCAGGAUCCUGCUGCUCAUCAUCCUCACCUCAUGUGUCUCUGGAUCAUUUGUAGUCAAUGUGACACAGACCUGCUAUCAGGCAGAGGAGAACCACAACAUCACACUGGAGUGGACGUUCACCACCAAACCUGACAGAUCCAACAAAACUCUUUUUAUCUACUGUGAACUCAAAGCUGAGCUUAAAUGCUCAGUCGUGUAUCAGGUUCAUGAAGGUGUUGAGGUGUCAGAGUCUCAGGACGAAACGUUUCAGGACGAGUCCAGAGUGACAAAGACGCCCUCAGAGAAGGACGGAUCAGACUUCAACUGUCCAGACUCAGGACUGAUGACUCGGUCUGUACCUGUGUGAGCUGAACACUGAUUAUGGUCACGGCUCUUCCAGCUUAAGAUCAGUAGAACCUCUGGUCUGUUUCAGAAUCAGAGACCAACUUCACAGCCACAGAGUUCAGGAUGGACAACGUUGUGUAUUUUCCUGGGACAAGCAACAGCGUUUCUACUGUUUUAUUUUCUCAUAGUCAAAGGUGGAGCUUGUGUAAGCCAGCCUGGAGAGGUGGAGGUGUGCUCUGGAGAGCGUUAAAUUACCCCAGUUCUUUGAUCGAAGGAAGAACAACACUCGGUGUUUUAAUGCUCGAUCAACAAUCACUUUAAUCAAUACAAUUCUCUUUAUACCACACAAACACUUUGAGCAGCACAAUCAUCCGGAUGGCAGAUGUGCACGAGAGGGCAGAUCUCAAAAUGUCGGCCCGUUACUCAAACUUUUAUAGCCUCGGCCCACUCCAAAGUCGUAAAAAACUUAAACGUCCCCAUUCUUUCUGUCUCUCAGGGAGCCUGAGUUAUGACCUUGGCUUCCUGUUUUCUCCUCCUGUGUGAGAUGAGGGAGAAUAUCCUGUGCAGUAUGUUCUGUUCUCUUUGUAAUCAGAAAAGCA
ensembl:lncRNA